rnacentral:rRNA from 1 species
AACGAACGCUGGCGGCAUGCCUAACACAUGCAAGUCGAACGAAGGCUUCGGCCUUAGUGGCGCACGGGUGCGUAACGUGUGGGAAUCUGCCCCUCGGUUCGGAAUAACAGUUAGAAAUGACUGCUAAUACCGGAUGAUGACUUCGGUCCAAAGAUUUAUCGCCGAGGGAUGAGCCCGCGUAAGAUUAGGUAGUUGGUGGGGUAAAGGCCUACCAAGCCGACGAUCUUUAGCUGGUCUGAGAGGAUGAUCAGCCACACUGGGACUGAGACACGGCCCAGACUCCUACGGGAGGCAGCAGUGGGGAAUAUUGGACAAUGGGCGAAAGCCUGAUCCAGCAAUGCCGCGUGAGUGAUGAAGGCCUUAGGGUUGUAAAGCUCUUUUACCAAGGAUGAUAAUGACAGUACCCGGAGAAUAAGCUCCGGCUAACUCCGUGCCAGCCGCCGCAGUAA